AAUCAACGCUGGCGGCGUGCCUAACACAUGCAAGUCGAGCGCGAAAGGGGAGCAAUCCCCAAGUAGAGCGGCGGACGGGUGAGUAACACGUGGGUAACCUACCCUCGGGUGGGGAAUAACUCAGGGAAACUUGAGCUAAUUCCGCAUAACAUCCCGGGCUCAUAAGAGUCCGGAAUCAAAGCUGGGGACCCUUCGGGGCCUGGCGUCUGAGGAGGGGCCCGCGGCCGAUUAGCUAGUUGGCGAGGAACGGCUCACCAAGGCGACGAUCGGUAGCCGGCCUGAGAGGGCGGACGGGCCACACUGGAACUGAGACACGGUCCAGACUCCUACGGGAGGCAGCAGUGGGGAAUCUUUGGCAAUGGGGGCAACCCUGACCAAGCAACGCCGCGUGGAGGACGAAGGCCCUCGGAUCGUAAACUCCUGUCGGACGGGACGAAUGCGGUUGGGUCGAAUAAGCCCAGCCGUUGACGGUACUGUACGAGGAAGCCCGGCUAACUCCGUGCCAGCAGCCGCAGU
rnacentral:rRNA from 1 species